rnacentral:rRNA from 1 species
GACGAACGCUGGCGGCGUGCUUAACACAUGCAAGUCGAGCGGAAAGGCCCUUUCGGGGGUACUCGAGCGGCGAACGGGUGAGUAACACGUGAGUAAUCUGCCCUGGACUCUGGGAUAGCAACCGGAACUGGUGAUUAAUACCGGAUAUGACACCUUGCUGCAUGGUGGGGUGUGGAAAGUUUUUUCGGUUCAGGAUGUGCUCGCGGCCUAUCGGCUUGUUGGUGAGGUAAUGGCUCACCAAGGCUUUGACGGGUAGCCGGCCUGAGAGGGUGACCGGUCACACUGGGACUGAGACACGGCCCAGACUCCUACGGGAGGCAGCAGUGGGGAAUAUUGGACAAUGGGCGGAAGCCUGAUCCAGCAACGCCGCGUGAGGGAUGACGGCCUUCGGGUUGUAAACCUCUUUCAGUACCGACGAAGCGUGAGUGACGGUAGGUACAGAAGAAGGACCGGCCAACUACGUGCCAGCAGCCGCCGCAGUAA